rnacentral:rRNA from 1 species
AUUGAACGCUGGCGGCAGGCCUAACACAUGCAAGUCGAACGGUAACAGGAAGAAGCUUGCUUCUUUGCUGACGAGUGGCGGACGGGUGAGUAAUGUCUGGGAAACUGCCUGAUGGAGGGGGAUAACUACUGGAAACGGUAGCUAAUACCGCAUAACGUCGCAAGACCAAAAAGGGGGACCUUCGGGCCUCUUGCCAUCGGAUGUGCCCAGAUGGGAUUAGCUAGUAGGUGGGGUAACGGCUCACCUAGGCGACGAUCCCUAGCUGGUCUGAGAGGAUGACCAGCCACACUGGAACUGAGACACGGUCCAGACUCCUACGGGAGGCAGCAGUGGGGAAUAUUGCACAAUGGGCGCAAGCCUGAUGCAGCCAUGCCGCGUGUAUGAAGGCCUUCGGGUUGUAAAGUACUUUCAGCGGGGAGGAAGGGAGUAAAGUUAAUACCUUUGCUCAUUGACGUUACCCGCAGAAGAAGCACCGGCUAACUCCGUG